ensembl:scaRNA
UCGCAGCCUUGUGAAGUUGCUCUUGGCGAAGCCCGUCGCCUGUGGGUGUUCAGCAAGGCUGCAGACAGCAACUCAAAGAAUGAAAAGGCGUGACUCCCGGAGGAUCGGGAGGUUCACGUGCGAUGUUCCUUGAACAGAUUACCUUUCCUGCUUUCCACGGUGGCCCGGCCUCGCUCGGUGGCCGUCGCCUUUCUUGAGGCAGGUAGAGAAAGAGCCUGGCAGCUAGAUAUUGUUUGAAACAGGAGGAGCUUUUCCUGUCAGGCACUGCCAGCUGCCACAGCA